CACUAUUACACCGCUUUUUCAAUAUUUGCUCUAAAUAUGAGAAUUUUCAUGCUCAGAUUGAGUUUUUUAGAAAAAUCCUCAACCAGAACGGUUAUCCUACUCGUCUUUUUGAUCGUUGUGUUCGACUCUUUCUUGAUAAAACCUUUCAACCCAAGGAAUUAAUCCAUUCUGUAUCAAGGAAAGUGGUAUACUUUUGUCUUCCAUAUACCGGAACACACUCUCUCCAAAUCCGUACCCAAAUUCAACGCCUUUGCUCUGUAGCCUUCCCACAUAUAAACAUCAGAAUCGUUUUUCGUCCCACUCUACGUUUGUCCAAUUUCUUCAUGUUUAAGGACAAAAUUCCCGAUGCUUUGAGGUCUUGUGUAGUUUAUUCUUUUAAGUGUCGAUGCUGUUCCGCGUCGUAUGUGGGCCAAACGGUCCGCCAUCUACAUACACGAGUCUCUGAACACCUGGGUAUUUCUGCCUUAACUGGUAAGACGAGUAGCAGUCCUCAACUUACGAGCAUCUUUUCCCAU